rnacentral:lncRNA from 1 species
GCAUUAACUAUGUCUCAUAUGGUUUGGUGUGAUAGUCAUUCGUAAUUUUAGUAUUUUUCUUGCGGCAUUAUUUCAUUUUUUUUUAUUGAUAUUUGAAAAGAGAAAUCGAUAAAAUAUGCUAUUUAUUGAAGUUAGCUUUGAGAGACGUCUUUGUUAUACAUAAAAUGUUAUAUUAGGGUUGAGUGAAAAAAUAUUUGAAGUUUUGGGA